rnacentral:lncRNA from 1 species
AACUGACAACUCGAUUCUGAGGGACUGGAAACAAGAAAGCAAUAGCUUCCCCAUGAGUAGCCGAGGCAGAGCCUCCUCAGAGAGGUGUCAUGCACAGGGAGCAUGGUAAGAGAAAGGAAAGUAGACGGCAGUGACACAGCAAUGCAAGGAGACAGGUAGGGAGAAGCAAGGGGAGAGCAAGGCCAAGAACUUGUUCAUGGCAGUAGGAGCUCUUCAGGCCAGGGUGAAUGGUCUACAGGAAUCUGACAUGACUCAUGGUUCUUUCUAAGAAGGUGACUCCAUUGACUUUGGCCUGACCCUGACUGUGAGUGAACAGCGAUGUGGCCGAUGAGCUAAUCUGAGGGAAAACAAAAGCUGAGAGAAGACAACUGUAAGCUUGGAUGUGUUCGGGGCAUCUGGAGAGGCAGCCCAUGUAAGGCCAGGUCCAACAUUCGUGAUCCAGGAUGAAGAAGGGAAAGGAUUCAGCCAUCCACAGUGACACAGAGGUCUCAGAGAAUCGAGAGUGCUCAGAGCAGUAUUGCUCAGAAAAGUCAACGGCAGAAACACUCAACUGGCUGUUCGCGAGCACAGGCAUAGUCCAGGAGGACGAAAGGGUCCUGAAGGUGGAGGAAUGAGGGUGUGUGGCAUCAUGAAGUUCUAAUGCCAAAGAACUACAUUCUUAAAAACAGAAGGAUGUACCAGCGGCCACCAAAGAAGGAAGGAAGGAAGAAAGAACGGAAGGAAGGAAGAAGGAAGCGAGGGGAGGAUGGAAGGAGACAAGAAAGCAAGGAAAGAAGAGUGGAUGAAGGAAAAGGGGAGGG